GGGAGAAAAUAACCUUAGAUUAAGUUUAUUAAAGGAUUGAUAAGUUUACCCGGAUCGUAUCUUAUUUGGCGUGCUCGGUAAACACAUGUCAGAAAACAUUGGGUGCAGUAUAAAGUUUGAAAUUACCACCAAACUUCCAAACCAAAUAUUUGAAUUUAUGGAAGAAUGUAGUAAAGGUUUCAUGUACUUUACGAAAUAUUUGACAUUACAAUUUACCAGUAAUACAUACUUUACGCUCAUUGAAAUACAAAAUGUCACAACGAACAUCUCUUUUCU
rnacentral:lncRNA from 1 species